UGACAGUGUUUUUCCUAUUGU
rnacentral:piRNA from 1 species